UACGUAGGGACCAAGCGUUGUCCGGAAUCAUUGGGCGUAAAGCGCGCGUAGGUGGCCAUUUAAGUCCGCUGUGAAAGUCAGAGGCUCAACCUUUGAAAGCCGGUGGAUACUGGAUGGCUAGAGUACGGAAGAGGUGAGUGGAAUUCCUGGUGUAGCGGUGAAAUGCGCAGAUAUCAGGAGGAACACCAAUGGCGAAGGCAGCUCACUGGGACGGUAUUGACGCUGAGACGCGAAAGCGUGGGGAGCAAACAGG
rnacentral:rRNA from 1 species